ACAUGCAAGUCGAACGAAGGCCCGGAGCUUGCUCCGGAUCCCUUAGUGGCGAACGGGUGAGUAACGCGUGGGAAUCUACCUAGAAAUGGGGAAUAACUGUUGGAAACGACAGCUAAUACCGCAUAAUCCCUCUGGGGCAAAGGCUUCGGCCGUUUUUAGAUGAGCCCGCGUUAGAUUAGGCUGUUGGUGAGGUAAUGGCUCACCAAACCUACAAUCUAUAGCUGGUCUGAGAGGAUGAUCAGCCACACUGGGACUGAGACACGGCCCAGACUCCUACGGGAGGCAGCAGUGGGGAAUAUUGGACAAUGGGGGAAACCCUGAUCCAGCAAUGCCGCGUGAGUGAUGAAGGCCCUAGGGUUGUAAAGCUCUUUCAGAAGUGAAGAUGAUGACUGUAACUUCAGAAGAAGCUCCGGCUAACUCCGUGCCAGCAGCCGCGGUAAUACGGAGGGAGCUAGCGUUGUUCGGAAUUACUGGGCGUAAAGGGCGUGUAGGCUGUAAAGUAAGUCAGAGGUGAAAUCCCUAAGCUCAACUUAGGAACUGCCUUUGAUACUAUUAUACUAGAGAUCGAGAGAAGUUAGCGGAAUUCCAAGUGUAGAGGUGAAAUUCGUAGAUAUUUGGAAGAACACCAGUGGCGAAAGCGGCUAACUGGCUCGUAUCUGACGCUGAUACGCGAAAGCGUGGGUAGCAAACAGGAUUAGAUACCCUGGUAGUCCACGCCGUAAACGAUGAGUGCUAGCCGUUUGUAAUUAAUUACAAGUGGUGCAGUUAACACAUUAAGCACUCCGCCUGGGGAGUACGA
rnacentral:rRNA from 1 species